rnacentral:lncRNA from 1 species
GGGAUAAUUGUUUCUGUGCUUGAGUCACUAUAUAUUAGUAGUGAGUGGGUGAUAUUGACUAAAACUAGUGCCCUGCUGUGGAAUGUAGAUGUGAAAAAUCACUCAAAUUGCAUUAUCUUGUGGUAGUCCUGAUGAGUCUAAGGAAUACUGGAUCUGUUUGAAGGAAACGAUUCAAAGGUAUGAGUGUUAUCUGGAAUAAAUCAUGUUCUAAAGGAUGAAUAUUCUAAUUACUUUUCCCCAUACUACCAUUAACCAUGAUAAAAAUAUCUCAACAGUGAUUUUUUAAAAAAUUCUCCAGUUGCAGGUUAAACCUGUACAUGUGGCAUAAUGAAAGCUUUUCUGUGAUCUUAUCACUGAUAGUCAUGUAGCUGCAUUCAGCCCUUUUUAAAUGUCUUUCUUCUCUAAAUUAACUUCUUUCUAGUGGCUACCAUUUUAAAAAACUGUUUGAAAGUUCAAGAAAGCAACUUUUGAAACACAGAGGAAAUUAAGGUUCACUUAUUCAGGGGGAUCGAACUUGGGUCCUUGCGCUUGCACAGCAGGCAGCGAAACCACUGAGGAAGUCUCCAUUAUACUCCACACAUGGAAAAGAGAAGUAGAAGUUGCAUGUGAUCACCUUUGCCAACCAUCUUGCUGAAUAGUAUUCAUUGUCUGAAUGUACUGUAGUUCAUCCAUUCACCUACUGAGAGA